rnacentral:rRNA from 1 species
CGCCUUUAGCCCACCCCAAGUAUUAAAGGUCUCGCCUGCCCAGUGAAGUCUUUUUAACGGCCGCGGUACCCUAACCGUGCAAAGGUAGCAUAAUCACUUGCCCCCUAAAUAGGGGCCUGUAUGAAUGGCCAACUGAGGAUAUACCUGUCUCUUAGGACAAAAUAAUGAACCUGAUCACCUAGUACAAAAGCUAGACUAACCCCAUAAGACGAGAAGACCCUGCGGAGCUUUUAACCGCUGCCACAAACAGUCUCACACCACAAGACUAACUUAGUGACAACUUUAAGUUGGGGCAACUAUGGAACAUAACAAAACUUCCACGUACCGACUAACACUCUCCAAGGCAAGCCAGCCAGACCCUAACCCACUACGACCCAGCACGCCUGAUCACCGAAACAAGUUACCCCAGGGAUAACAGCGCCAUCCUCUUUAAGAGCCCCUAUCGCCAAGAGGGAUUACGACCUCGAUGUUGGAUCAAGACACCCCAGUGGCGCAGCCGCUACUAAAGGUCCGUUUGUUCAACGGUUAAUGUCCU